CCUGUCGUCCCGGUGGCUGAAAGGGAAGGACAACGUGAGAGGCAGGGACGUGCUGGUGACCGUGAGGGGAAGGCGGUCGACCACGCUGGCACAGCGCCGUGUGACAGCCAAUGGAGGACUUGCGUGUGGUCGUACCAGAUAUAACCUGAAUAAGUAAAAGCUCUUUGGGACCCUUGAUGAUUUCUGAAAGCAUAACGGGGUUAUGACAUCAGGACGUUCGAUACCCAAUAUGCUAACUUAAGACCGUCUUUAAAGAACGUGCUGCCUGAACACCAGCGAUGAAGCUACUCAUGACUCAUGAGCUUGGAGAGAAACCCUACAGACAGAGCAGGAGAGCAAGGUCUGAAGUGACCUCGGAGCCACAACCUGGAGCAGCUGGGAAGACAUGACAUUUUCUGAGGGGACACGACAGUCAGAUGUCAGAAACGCCCGAAAUACACCUACAGGUGGAGCCGGGACCCGUGGGAGCUGCACUGUGGUCGCGGAAGUGCCCGUGACACUUCAUCCACCGGGGGCGAUCUUACCCCCCCGGUGACAUCUUUCUGAUUUGCUGCUUUUAAUCUCCAAUAGAGACUGCAGGACGAUUUUUCACAUAAACUCGGCCUUGGGUUGAUAAAUAACAACUGCUAAAAACAAAUCUAGUCUCUUUUACAGAG